UUUAGGUCACAGCUUACCUUCAGCAUCCACAGACCUGUCACUUAGCCCUCUCUCUUUGUUUUCUCAUUCAUUCGCAGCAGCAGACAUGCCAAAGACUGGCAGAAACACGGGGACGCACGUCCCGACGGGGUGCUAGGUAGAACGCACCUUGGUGCUGUAAUUUGACCAAUAGAUAAAUUUCAACAAUGUGCACAUGAGACGGAAGCGGAACUAGGAGAACUGGUGAUAAAUUCGAGCUCCGGAAGAAACCGCUUUCCAGUAGGAUUCUGUUCCAGGCUGCAGAGGGAUGUGCUGUUUCUGGAAUUUUCUGGUCAUUGGAUCUGAGACUUCAGUUAUGAAGCUCACACGGUGAGAGGUUUCUUCCAGCACACCCUCUGGCCAUGAUGUACUUACUGUCUCUCCGGAGGCCCCAAGUAUUAGGGCACUCAGUCAUAAGCUGGAACCUUCAAAAGCGUACGCCAAGGAAACCUUUCCUCUUUCCAAGUUAACUGCCUCACAGAUCUGAUUUUAGUGGCAGAGAGUGGACUCAUACAAUCGCCCUACUCCACUUAAAGCCUCAGGAUUUUUACCUAUAAAAUUGAGGAUAUGACUUGCCUAAGGACUUCUGAUGAAGAUCAGUCGUGAUUCUUAGAUGUAAGUACCAAAGGCCACUCCUGGCUCAUAACAAGGAUUGGAUUCCCACUUUCCACCCCAAUUUAUAGUCCUGUUUGCAAAUUUCUGAGGCAGACUGUGUUAAGAUAGUUUCAUUUCCUGAAACCCACAGGACAACAGACUGUGACCAACUGUAACACAGAGCUCGACGUACAGAGCGGAAUGAAGCUCUGUCUAGCAUGCUGGAUGGAGUGGGAGGUCUUACCAGAUUUAGUUAUGAAAAAGAACUUCCUCCUUCAAUAAUUGCUUAACCUCUGCAAAUAGUGUGCUGAGUCCUAGAAUUUAGAAUUCUGUCCAAAUGUGCCUUACCCUGGACCUAUUCUACCAGGUGAAAAUUAACCAAGCUCUUUGAAGGAGACCUUUUACUCCCCACCUUUGUGGUGAAUGGGCACAGUUCUGUGAAGUGGGUAGAAGUAGGAGAGCCACUCCCAGAGCCUCAGUGGUAAGUGAUCAUUGACUUUGAUGGGGCUAAUCCUGUUCUCCCCCCCUGACCUCUUCUAGUUCGUGUAAAUUCAAUGAUCUAUUUGUUAAUGGAAGAGCAUUUUCUCUGCAUUCCACAGAAGGUAUUUAUGAAAAGAACCACAGAGGCCGUCACUUGCCUAACAUGGUCAGACUUUGAACAUCAGUAAAUGAUGCAAUCAGUAUCACAACCACAGUGGGUUGAGAAAUAAAUGACAUGUUGGUGACCUUGUCAGGAUAGAGGGGAGCCUACGCAUUCAUUUGAGAACUGGCAAAGAAAAGUUAAACCAGCGGAUCAUCAAUACAGCAAGUAUUUAUCUUCUGUGUAUUACAUAAUCUUUAUCCCACCAAAGCCAAAUGUGGUAAAAGUGAUAUAAGUGUCCCAGGUCAUUAAUGAAGCAUGAAUAAAUAAUAGUUGGUGGUCAUCGUGUUACAAUCCUGAGUGCAUGGAGACCAUCCUACCAGGAAAAGGUAACCCAAAGGACCUGUGCUUCCUGAUGGCUGGAGGCAGCCACACCUUUGACAAGGUGUCCCGUCUAGGGGGCUGCAGUAGCCUUCAGAGCUAUUUAUCAUUUUAUAGGAAGUUUGGGGACAGGAACGUAUUAGAGACAACUACAGCAAUGUAAUUAGAAAUUUCCCCACACAUCUGUAGGACAAAGGGCCACUUCAUCAACAAAUAAAACUCCAAAGGAAAACAUAUAGGGAACACGUGCAGAUUAACAGAGAAACAAACAACUUCAGUGUCUGCAUGUGAUCAUUCUGCUGAUUGUACAACUAAGUUUAAAAAUUAUAAGACUAUCAAACACCAGCCACAGUGUUAAUAUUUAAAUAAACUUUUAUUGUUUAUAGUGA